rnacentral:snoRNA from 2 species
CCCCUCUCAGGAUCGCCCCUGGAGAGUUUCCAGUACUCUACCAGUCUCGGCUCUGGGAGGGAGAGGUGAGCAGAGUCAUACCCAUUCCAUUCCUAGCUUGGGCAGUGGAUAGUGAGUGGAGGGCAAUCUGCUACAAGU